UUUUCAAUGGAUUAUUUAAUUUGAUGAUAUUAGUUUGUUUGUUGUGUUGAGGCGGAGUUCCCGUGAACACGUCAUCCAAACAGAUAAAAACUGGGAUCAUCGUUGAUGAGUGGGUUAGGAAAUUAGAGAGAUGAGGGAUACCGUACACCUGAGUAGUAGGGGAUCAUGGGAUUGGGUUUCCUUUCUUUCCUUUUCUUUCCUUUCUCCUUAAAUCAAAUCUCAACUCAAUCCCCUCCUUCUCUGCUGCUGCUGCUGUCGUCGUCGUCGACUCGUCGUCGUCUUUGUGACUGACUGACUGACUGUACCACCACCCUCGGCAGAUGCAAUCCACAACUGGUGCUGCUUCUACUGCUACUGCUACUGCUAGUAGUCGUACCUCCGCUGGCGGCGCCGGCCUUGCUCGCUUCCGCUCUGCUCCUGCUGCCUGGUUGGAAGCUCUUUUGGAGGACGACGAGGAGGACCCUCUCAAGCCCAAUCCCUGCUUGACUCAGCUUCUCGCCGCCAACUCCUCCGACCUCGAUUCAGCUCCCGCGGAUCACCCCUUGUUCGACCCCAAUCCCUCUCCCGCCUUCCACAGGCAGAAUAGCUCCCCACCUGAGUUUCUUGCUCCCUCUGGAAUUGCUGAAGGAUUUUACACCUCCUAUCCUCUCAAUUCCUCCCCUACUCUCGACAUCUCUCCCACCUCCAAGCCAUCUACAGAUGUCGACGCCCAAAACUUCUUCCCCAAAUUUUCACCUCAACUGAAAAGGGAAGGAAGUGGAGUUUCCAGUUUGAUAGACAUGGAAAUGGAGAAGUUAUUGGAGGACUCUGUGCCCUGCCGGGUAAGAGCCAAGCGUGGCUGUGCGACGCAUCCUCGGAGCAUUGCUGAGAGGGUUCGUAGGACUAGAAUUAGUGACAGAAUAAGGAAGCUUCAGGAAGUUGUCCCCAACAUGGAUAAGAGAAGGGAAGGGAAGGGAAGGGAAGGGAAGGACAGGGGCAGUGAAUGAAGAUGUGCCUUUUAAGAUUCUUCAGCUUCUUAAUACUAACCAAACGAUCUAGACCUCAGCUACAUGCAUUAUGCCAAUCGGCCCACCAAUGGGGGAGCAACUUAAGAUUGAACGUGUGAGGGUGAGCAAACAAACACUGCAGAUAUGUUAGAAGAAGCAGUAGAGUAUGUCAAAUUCCUUCAAAAGCAAAUCCAGGAACUUACGGAGCAUCAGCGCAGGUGUAAAUGCAUGGUGAAAGAAUAACAGGUUGAAGGAAGAAUACUACUCCAGCCUGCAGAAAUCGCCCUUCCACGAUUAGUGUAAAUUAGUAGGAUUUCUGGGGACUUGAAAGGUCGUAAAAAGUAAAUGAAGGUGUUUUAGCUAUAAUAUUGUUAUCUCUUUGGUUCUAAAGAAAAUAUCAACCUUGUAAUGCAUGCAUUCAAUAUAUAUUGCAUUCGUACGCAAUAAGCAGGUGUAACAAAAUGUUGGGGGACUCUUUUUUUUUUUUUUUUGGGAAAAAGAAAUUGUUGAAUAGUCCAUUAGAACAUUAGGUCUCUAAUUUAAGGUACUUGUUCUGUGUAAUUGUAUUUUCAACAUCCAUCCAAUAUUAUCAGGAGAAAGCUUUAGGAAUCGAAAUCACAGAUCAAUUUUUUCGUUUC